UUAAGCGACUAAGCGUACACGGUGGAUGCCCUGGCAGUCAGAGGCGAUGAAGGACGUGCUAAUCUGCGAUAAGCGUCGGUAAGGUGAUAUGAACCGUUAUAACCGGCCGAUUUCCGAAUGGGGAAACCCCAGUGUGAUUCGUCACACUAUCAUUAACUGAAUCCAUAGGUUAAUGAGGCGAACCGGGGGAACUGAAACAUCUAAGUACCCCGAGGAAAAGAAAUCAACCGAGAUUCCCCCAGUAGCGGCGAGCGAACGGGGAGGAGCCCAGAGUCUGAAUCAGUGUGUGUGUUAGUGGAAGCGUCUGGAAAGGCGCGCGAUACAGGGUGACAGCCCCGUACACAAAAAUGCACAUACUGUGAGCUCGAUGAGUAGGGCGGGACACGUGGUAUCCUGUCUGAAUAUGGGGGGACCAUCCUCCAAGGCUAAAUACUCCUGACUGACCGAUAGUGAACCAGUACCGUGAGGGAAAGGCGAAAAGAACCCCGGCGAGGGGAGUGAAAAAGAACCUGAAACCGUGUACGUACAAGCAGUGGGAGCACGCUUAGGCGUGUGACUGCGUACCUUUUGUAUAAUGGGUCAGCGACUUAUAUUCUGUAGCAAGGUUAACCGAAUAGGGGAGCCGAAGGGAAACCGAGUCUUAACUGGGCGUUAAGUUGGCAGGGUAUAGACCCGAAACCCGGUGAUCUAGCCAUGGGCAGGUUGAAGGUUGGGUAACACUAACUGGAGGACCGAACCGACUAAUGUUGAAAAAAUUAGCGGAUGACUUGUGGCUGGGGGUGAAAGGCCAAUCAAACCGGGAGAUAGCUGGUUCUCCCCGAAAGCUAUUUAGGUAGCGCCUCGUGAAUUCAUCUCCGGGGGUAGAGCACUGUUUCGGCAAGGGGGUCAUCCCGACUUACCAACCCGAUGCAAACUGCGAAUACCGGAGAAUGUUAUCACGGGAGACACACGGCGGGUGCUAACGUCCGUCGUGAAGAGGGAAACAACCCAGACCGCCAGCUAAGGUCCCAAAGUCAUGGUUAAGUGGGAAACGAUGUGGGAAGGCCCAGACAGCCAGGAUGUUGGCUUAGAAGCAGCCAUCAUUUAAAGAAAGCGUAAUAGCUCACUGGUCGAGUCGGCCUGCGCGGAAGAUGUAACGGGGCUAAACCAUGCACCGAAGCUGCGGCAGCGACGCUUAUGCGUUGUUGGGUAGGGGAGCGUUCUGUAAGCCUGUGAAGGUGUGCUGUGAGGCAUGCUGGAGGUAUCAGAAGUGCGAAUGCUGACAUAAGUAACGAUAAAGCGGGUGAAAAGCCCGCUCGCCGGAAGACCAAGGGUUCCUGUCCAACGUUAAUCGGGGCAGGGUGAGUCGACCCCUAAGGCGAGGCCGAAAGGCGUAGUCGAUGGGAAACAGGUUAAUAUUCCUGUACUUGGUGUUACUGCGAAGGGGGGACGGAGAAGGCUAUGUUGGCCGGGCGACGGUUGUCCCGGUUUAAGCGUGUAGGCUGGUUUUCCAGGCAAAUCCGGAAAAUCAAGGCUGAGGCGUGAUGACGAGGCACUACGGUGCUGAAGCAACAAAUGCCCUGCUUCCAGGAAAAGCCUCUAAGCAUCAGGUAACAUCAAAUCGUACCCCAAACCGACACAGGUGGUCAGGUAGAGAAUACCAAGGCGCUUGAGAGAACUCGGGUGAAGGAACUAGGCAAAAUGGUGCCGUAACUUCGGGAGAAGGCACGCUGAUAUGUAGGUGAAGUCCCUUGCGGAUGGAGCUGAAAUCAGUCGAAGAUACCAGCUGGCUGCAACUGUUUAUUAAAAACACAGCACUGUGCAAACACGAAAGUGGACGUAUACGGUGUGACGCCUGCCCGGUGCCGGAAGGUUAAUUGAUGGGGUCAGCGCAAGCGAAGCUCUUGAUCGAAGCCCCGGUAAACGGCGGCCGUAACUAUAACGGUCCUAAGGUAGCGAAAUUCCUUGUCGGGUAAGUUCCGACCUGCACGAAUGGCGUAAUGAUGGCCAGGCUGUCUCCACCCGAGACUCAGUGAAAUUGAACUCGCUGUGAAGAUGCAGUGUACCCGCGGCAAGACGGAAAGACCCCGUGAACCUUUACUAUAGCUUGACACUGAACAUUGAGCCUUGAUGUGUAGGAUAGGUGGGAGGCUUUGAAGUGUGGACGCCAGUCUGCAUGGAGCCGACCUUGAAAUACCACCCUUUAAUGUUUGAUGUUCUAACGUGGACCCGUGAUCCGGGUUGCGGACAGUGUCUGGUGGGUAGUUUGACUGGGGCGGUCUCCUCCUAAAGAGUAACGGAGGAGCACGAAGGUUGGCUAAUCCUGGUCGGACAUCAGGAGGUUAGUGCAAUGGCAUAAGCCAGCUUGACUGCGAGCGUGACGGCGCGAGCAGGUGCGAAAGCAGGUCAUAGUGAUCCGGUGGUUCUGAAUGGAAGGGCCAUCGCUCAACGGAUAAAAGGUACUCCGGGGAUAACAGGCUGAUACCGCCCAAGAGUUCAUAUCGACGGCGGUGUUUGGCACCUCGAUGUCGGCUCAUCACAUCCUGGGGCUGAAGUAGGUCCCAAGGGUAUGGCUGUUCGCCAUUUAAAGUGGUACGCGAGCUGGGUUUUAGAACGUCGUGAGACAGUUCGGUCCCUAUCUGCCGUGGGCGCUGGAGAACUGAGGGGGGCUGCUCCUAGUACGAGAGGACCGGAGUGGACGCAUCACUGGUGUUCGGGUUGUCAUGCCAAUGGCACUGCCCGGUAGCUAAAUGCGGAAGAGAUAAGUGCUGAAAGCAUCUAAGCACGAAACUUUGCCCGAGAUGAGUUCUCCCUGACUCCUUGAGAGUCCUGAAGGAACGUUGAAGACGACGACGUUGAUAGGCCGGGUGUGUAAGCGCAGCGAUGCGUUGAGCUAACCGGUACUAAUGAACCGUGAGGCUUAACCUU
rnacentral:rRNA from 1 species